UGGAGCAUGUGGUCUAAUUCGAAGCAACGCGCAGAACCUUACCAACCCUUGACAUGGGCGUCGCGGACUCAGAGAUGGGUCUUUCAGUUCGGCUGGACGCCACACAGGUGCUGCAUGGCUGUCGUCAGCUCGUGUCGUGAGAUGUUCGGUUAAGUCCGGCAACGAGCGCAACCCACACUCUUAGUUGCCAGCAUUCAGUUGGGCACUCUAGGAGAACUGCCGGUGAUAAGCCGGAGGAAGGUGUGGAUGACGUCAAGUCCUCAUGGCCCUUACGGGUUGGGCUACACACGUGCUACAAUGGUGGUGACAAUGGGUUAAUCCCAAAAAGCCAUCUCAGUUCGGAUUGGGGUCUGCAACUCGACCCCAUGAAGUCGGAAUCGCUAGUAAUCGCGUAACAGCAUGACG
rnacentral:rRNA from 1 species